AGUGAACGCUGGCGGUAGGCCUAACACAUGCCAGUCGAACGGCAGCACAGUAAGAGCUUGCUCUUACGGGUGGCGAGUGGCGGACGGGUGAGGAAUACAUCGGAAUCUACUUUUUCGUGGGGGAUAACGUAGGGAAACUUACGCUAAUACCGCAUACGACCUACGGGUGAAAGCAGGGGAUCUUCGGACCUUGCGCGAUUGAAUGAGCCGAUGUCGGAUUAGCUAGUUGGCGGGGUAAAGGCCCACCAAGGCGACGAUCCGUAGCUGGUCUGAGAGGAUGAUCAGCCACACUGGAACUGAGACACGGUCCAGACUCCUACGGGAGGCAGCAGUGGGGAAUAUUGGACAAUGGGCGCAAGCCUGAUCCAGCCAUACCGCGUGGGUGAAGAAGGCCUUCGGGUUGUAAAGCCCUUUUUGUUGGGAAAGAAAGGCAGCAGGUUAAUACCCCGCUGUUCUGACGGUACCCAAAGAAUAAGCACCGGCUAACUUCGU
rnacentral:rRNA from 1 species